rnacentral:rRNA from 1 species
UACGUAGGGUGCGAGCGUUGUCCGGAAUUAUUGGGCGUAAAGAGCUCGUAGGCGGUUUGUCGCGUCGGGAGUGAAAACCCAGGGCUUAACUCUGGGCUUGCUUUCGAUACGGGCAGACUAGAGGUAUGCAGGGGAGAACGGAAUUCCUGGUGUAGCGGUGAAAUGCGCAGAUAUCAGGAGGAACACCGGUGGCGAAGGCGGUUCUCUGGGCAUUACCUGACGCUGAGGAGCGAAAGUGUGGGGAGCGAACAGG